GCUCCAGUAGCUCAGUGGAUAGAGCAUCUGCCUUCUAAGCAGACGGUCGCAGGUUCGAAUCCUGCCUGGGGCG
rnacentral:tRNA from 1 species